UGGGAUAUAGCUCAGCAGUACAGUACCUGCCUGGCAAGCAUGAGGCCCUCAGUUCGAUUCUCAGUACCAA
rnacentral:tRNA from 1 species